rnacentral:piRNA from 1 species
UGCAGUCAAUCAAAAUGUUGCUGGCCU